rnacentral:lncRNA from 1 species
UGGUAAAUAGGCUUAGUACCCAUUUGUACCACAGAUGUUGAUAACAACCUAAAGCCCUAACUUUCUGAGCCAAGUCUGUCAAGGUUCCGUGUUUUAGCCUUAUUCUCAAAUGCUCAACUAUGUUCACUAGAAUUUAAGUUAGAUGUGUGUAGGGCCAAAUUCCAGCAAGCAUCAAGGUAAACCAGGCUUAGUUUCACCAAGAAAGUCGACACCACCAACGGGUUGAGACAACUCCAAACCACCACCACCAAGUUCCCACUUCCGGUUGCAAUUAGUUGGACAAGAUGAAGAACAAUAAUAUGCCCACUAGAAAAGAACCAUAAAGGUCACAUAGAAGAGGAGAAACCGAAAGGAGAGUAUCACAGAGAGAGGUUGGGCAUUCUUCAUAUGGAGGCCGAGAGGAAGGCCAAGAAUAUAAGCCAAGCAAAUAAUCAAACAAGGUAAGUUAGGUUAGGAUUAUUUAGUAGACCAAACAAGGCUCGACUCAAAAAACAAUGGGUUUCAAAUUAAUAAAAUAGCCAACUGUGAGCAAUACGAUUAACAAUAGGUUGCUUCUAACGAUUCAUAGGAAUGUGGAUUAGGUUGUUUCGAUAAUUGUGUCGAUAUACUAAUCAAUUAUAUGGCCAAGGUUGAUUGAUAAUAGAACCAGGGUUACAUUAUAGCUCGGGGGGUCGUUUGACAACAAAUUGCCUAACAAUGUGUAAUAUGCAUAAUUUUCCUCCAAUUUCGAAAGGAUAUGUUCCUUGUUUUUAUCUUAAAACAUUUAUAUAAAUAUCUAAACCUUAUCUUCAAUAAACUUGGCGUCAAGUGUAUGAAUCAAGCUUUUUUAAAUAAAUCCUUGAAGUGCCUCGUGAAUAGACCUUCAUUACCUUUUCUCUCAUUUGGUUCUUGAUGUAUAUGUUCUUAAUAUUUUGUAUGAUCUUUUAACUUGAUAGAUAUAUUUUCCUCACAUUAAAGUAAAUGUAAAUGUAAAUUUUUAUGUUGUAUGAAUAGGGUUCAUCUAUUUCAUUUGAUACGUUUUGUGAUCGGUAUUUGAGGAUGCUUUCAAGUCAACACUAAGCAUAAUUAUCCUUGGUGAUAUUGAAAGAUACUACUAUUGACUCUAGAUGAAUAAUUUAUUGAAAGACUUGGGAAAGCUCACCCCAGUAAGCUAAUUCACAUCACCCGAAUUGUAUGACGCUCAAAAGUAUCAUGUCCAGGAUUUUAAAAGAACUCUUCAACAACUACAAUCUUGGAUGUCCAAGUAUUGGUAAAAUUUUUAACUUUUUUUUAAUAUAUGCCUUCCCACUUACUUAGUGUACCACUUUAUUAAACAUCCAUAAUUACUAUUCUAAGGCAUAAUUAGGUUGCAAAGGUCAAAUUUUUUCUUUUCAAAUUAUGAACAACCUUUUGGAUGUCACAAAUAAUCUUUUUGCCUAAUUUGGCAAACACUCCACCAUAUGUACAUUUUCAAUGUUGGACCUUGCUUGAAGAAAGCUCUUUUGCCUGCCGCUCAAGAACUUUUUUGACGCAAAAACUCUUGGGUGAAAAGGAUGAGUCUGACAACAAAUAAUCUUUUUUGAUGGGUCCGUCUUCCUAUCCUCUGAUGAAAAGGAUGAGCCUGACGACUACUAGGAAGUGCCAACUGUAACAUUUACAAACUCCAACCAGCAGAGUGUUCUGAAAUCAAUCUUUUGCGUUGAUUAUAACCAACUUAUGAAUAUCUUCUACGUUUAGAAAUGAAUUUCUCUAAAAUUUACAUUUACUUAUAUUUUUAACAUUAACAAAUUAAUAUGCAAUGCCAUUGACCCACUAGUAAUAGUUAAAAAUCGCUUGAAACCGAAUCCAACCACUCUCUUCAUUAUAUAAAAAAAGAUGGGUUAAGUUAAUCAAUGGUCACCCAACUUUAUAUUUGGCGUCACCAUAGCCACUCAAUUUGAUUUUGUUUCAUCAUGGUCACCCAACUUUAUACUUAGUGUUACUGUGGUCACCUAAUUAGAUUUUAUUUCACUAUAGCCACUCAAUUUCAUAUAACGUUUCACCAUAAUUAUCCAAUUUUAUGUAACGUUUCACCAUAAUCAAUCAAUUUUUUUCACCAUUAUCAUAAUUUGGAAACUGGUAAAAU